rnacentral:lncRNA from 1 species
UCAGAUGAAGAUGUAGAACUCUCAGCUUCUCCUGCACCAUGUUCCUGCCUUGAUGAUACUGGACUGAAUCUCUGAACCGGUGUGUCACUGUAGGCCUGAGAUUUAAGGCCCUCAUCCUAGCUGUCUGGAAUCCAGUAUUCUGCUAGCAGCCUUCAGAUGAAGACGUAGAACUCUCAGCUUCUUCUGUACCAUGCCCGCCUGGAUGCUGCCAUGUUUCUGGCAUGUUUCCUUGAUGAUGACGGACUGAACCUCUGAAUCUGAGAAAAAAUAAAAGAGAAAGACAAGAGUAUCGUGGCCAAAUCAACACAGAAGUGAACAACUUGGGGUGGGGCUUUACAAGAGUAUCUAAAAUUUUAGU